rnacentral:rRNA from 1 species
UACGAAGGGGACUAGCGUUGUUCGGAAUUACUGGGCGUAAAGCGCACGUAGGCGGGUUGUUAAGUCAGGGGUGAAAUCCUGGAGCUCAACUCCAGAACUGCCUUUGAUACUGGCAACCUAGAGACUGGAAGAGGUUAGUGGAAUUCCCAGUGUAGAGGUGAAAUUCGUAGAUAUUGGGAAGAACACCAGUGGCGAAGGCGGCUAACUGGUCCAGCACUGACGCUGAGGUGCGAAAGCGUGGGGAGCAAACAGG